rnacentral:rRNA from 1 species
AUUGAACGCUGGCGGCAGGCCUAACACAUGCAAGUCGAACGAGUGGCGGACGGGUGAGUAAUGUCUGGGAAACUGCCUGAUGGAGGGGGAUAACUACUGGAAACGGUAGCUAAUACCGCAUACCAUCAGAUGUGCCCAGAUGGGAUUAGCUAGUUGGUGGGGUAACGGCUCACCACGGCGACGAUCCCUAGCUGGUCUGAGAGGAUGACCCGCCAACACGGAACUGGGAAACGGGCCAAAAUCCUACGUGGGGCAGGAGUGGGGAAAUUUUCACCAUUGGCGGCAGCCUUAUUCAGCCAUGCCUCGUGUUUUGAAAAGGGCUUCGGGUUUGAAAGGAAUUUUAGCGGGGAGGCGUUACCCGCAGAAGAAGCACCGGCUAACUCCGUGCCAGCAGCCGCGGUAAUUC